UACGGAGGGUGCGAGCGUUGUCCGGAAUCACUGGGCGUAAAGGGCGCGUAGGUGGCCCGAUGAGUCAACGGUGAAAGCUCGAUGCUCAACAUCGAGUCGGCCGUCGAUACUGUCGGGCUGGAGCACUGUAGAGGCUCAUGGAAUUCCGGGUGUAGCGGUGGAAUGCGUAGAGAUCCGGAAGAACACCGGUGGCGAAGGCGGUGAGCUGGGCAGUAGCUGACACUGAGGCGCGACAGCGUGGGGGGCAAACAGG
rnacentral:rRNA from 1 species